UACGUAGGGGGCUAGCGUUGUCCGGAAUCAUUGGGCGUAAAGAGCGUGUAGGCGGCUUGGUAAGUCCGCUGUGAAAGUCCAGGGCUCAACCCUGGAAUGCCAGUGGAUACUGUCAAGCUAGAGUCCGGAAGAGGCGAGUGGAAUUCCUGGUGUAGCGGUGAAAUGCGCAGAUAUCACUUGGAACGCCAAAGGUGAAAACAGUCUGCUGGGGACUUGCUGACGCUGAGACACGAAAGCCAGGGGAGCGAACGGG
rnacentral:rRNA from 1 species